AUGCUUGAGGUUAAAAAAGUCGGUAAAAUCUAUGGUUGACUAAACAAGAUCUAAAAAAGUCGGCAAAACCAAUAAUUUAGACUACUUCACCGAUCAUCUCUUUUGGAGAAUCCAGAAGCACAAUUCUUCCUUCGCUAUCACCACCACCGCCACCAAUGGAGGCAACAACAACAUCCACUGUAAUCCAACAACCACCAACGCUGAAGCUCUAUUCAUACUUCAAGAGCUCUUGUUCUUUUCGUGUUCGUUUUGCCCUUCAUCUGAAAGGGUUGAAUUAUGAGUAUAAGGCAGUCAACCUAUUGAAAGGAGAACAGUUCAGUCCAGAAUUUCUGGAGGUGAAUCCUAUCGGUUAUGUGCCGGCACUGGUGGAUGGGGACUUAUUAGUUUCCGAUUCUUUUGCUAUCUUACUGUACUUGGAAGAGAAGUAUCCUCAGCAUCCACUUUUGCCUACGAACCUUCAGGAAAAAGCCGUCCAUUACCAAGCGGCGAAUAUUGUUGGCUCGGGGAUACAGCCAUUGCAGAACCUUGCUAUCCUAAGAUAUAUUGGGGAAAAAGUCGGUGAGGACGAGAAGAUUCCUUGGGUUCAACAGCACAUAGGAAAAGGCUUUGCAGCACUUGAGAAGUUACUAGGAGGAUAUGCUGGAAAAUUCGCCACAGGCGAUGAAAUUUUCCUGGCGGAUCUGUUUAUAGCUCCCCAGAUACAUGCAGCGGUCACUCGUUUCAAAAUUGACAUGGUGUUGCCCUAAACUAUAUAUACAUUUAACUCAUAUACCCUUGAUUAGAUAAAUUAACUUCAGACAUUCAAGUAACGCGUUCUUUAUAGCAAAGUUUUAGAACUGACUCAGUAUCCUACUCUAUCCAGGAUGUAUGAAUCAUACAAUGAAUUACCAGCCUUUCAUGCUGCUUUGCCUGAGAACCAACCAGAUUCCCCUAAGUAACACCAUAGGGUGAUUCAUUUACUUCUCUCAUGCUUCUUUUCAUCAGGUUCUCCCAACAGAAGUGUAAUCUUGUAACUGUUGAAUGAGAUUUCUCAUCGAAACCACAGAUGGUGAGUGAAGGAAAACAAAUGUAGUUGAACAAAGAUGCUAAAUAUUCUGUAUAAUAGUAAAUAAUAAUAUAUCUUUACUGUGACACUUUGAGUAAGGCAGGUACUUUUCCACUCA